UACAGCAGCCUGGUCCGUGUAGCUCCGCCCCCUUCCGGCCCGUGUAGCUCCGCCCCCUUGUGUCCCGUACUCGGCGCUGUCACAGGUGAGGGGAGGGGAAGGGAGAGAGGAAGCUUUUCAUGCUGCAGGUGCCCGCUGCCAGUGCCUGUCAUACAGUGACAGACACAGCACUGGCAGCAGCAGCAGCAGCAGUGGGGACAGGACGGCGCAGCAGGGAAGGAAUGCAGAGCAGGGGGAGCGCCUCUCCGUCCCAGCGCCUCCCUGCACUGCAUCCCUUCGCUGAGCGGGUAGCGCCGGGCCUGCGUAGGGUCGUGGGGAAGAUGGACGGACACUGACUUGCAAUACUGAUAGUCUCAACGCUCACUUCUUUUACACAGAGGUGAUGGAGGAUAUGGCUGUUUCUCUUGGCUUCUAACUCCAUUGUCCCGACCUGAUACCCCUGCUGAACACAAUUACAAUCAUGCACAUAAGUCCACGCGGAAUGUGAUAGAAAUAUGUUUUGGUGUGCUGAAAUCUAGGUUUCGGUGUCUGGAUAAGUCUGGUGGCCUUUUGUCGUAUAGUCCCUCCAAGGUGACUCAAAUUGUGUUCUGCUGCUGCUUUCUUCAUAACAUGUGUUUGCAACAACAUCUGCCACAUGUUGAGGAGGAGGAGGAGGAAGAAAGCAGCCAGCAAGCAGAGGAAUUAGAGACAUCUGGUGAUACUUGGAGUACAGAUGUAGGGAGGCAGGUUAGGCAAGAGAUCAUCACUCGCUAUUUCUAAGCACUGUCAUGUUGGCGUGCUCUGGUGGAGCAUCUUGGUGGUGAUGAGACUAGCGUGAUAUUUGGAGUAGUCGUACCAGAACUGCGGCUUGUUUGCUGUUGGUGCAUGCAUCUGAGUGUUUCAUUCAGCAUCUUACACACAAUGUCAUACUGUAUGGGUCAAGUGGACAUACAUAUCUUUACUGGAUGUGGACAAGGCCAUUUAGCUUGGAUUCCAUUUCAGCUUUUACUUACUGCGUUUGAUACUCACAAUCAAGAUGAGGGGAGUGUGGAUGACGUCUUGGAGGUGUGUCCAAAAUUUGGAGUGUGGGGACAGAACAUACGGA